rnacentral:rRNA from 1 species
UACAGAGGUGGCGAGCGUUGUUCGGAUUUACUGGGCGUAAAGGGUGCGUAGGUGGGUCUGUAUGUCGGGUGUGAAAUCUCAUCGCUCAACGGUGAAACUGCAUUCGAAACUACAGAUCUAGAGUAUAUGAGGGGAAAGUGGAAUUCUUGGUGUAGCGGUGACAUGCGUUGAUAUCAAGAAGAACACCGGUGGCGAAGGCGGCUUUCUGGCAUAUUACUGACACUGAGGCACGAAAGCUAGGGGAGCGAACAGG